rfam:Ailuropoda melanoleuca scaffold378_81, whole genome shotgun sequence.
GCCUCGCUGGUUCAGUCAGUAGAGCACGUGACUCUUCAUCUCGGGGUUGUGAGUUCGAGCCCCAUGUUGGGCA